UGUUAUUUAAAAUGUAAUUAAAAAGAAAUGGAGUAGUAAUAGUUAUAUUCUUAAAACUUAAAAAAUUUGGCGGUAUUUUAAUUUAUUCAGAGGAACUUGUUUUAUAAUUGAUAAUCCUCAUUAAAUCUUACUUAAUUUUAUUAAAUUUGUAUAUCGUCGUCAUAAGAAUUUCUUUAAAAAGUAAUAAUUUUCUAAAAUUUUUAUUUUAAAUCAUGUCAGAUAAAGGUGCAGUUUAUAAUUAAGAAAAAAUGAGUUACAAUAAAUUUAUUUAUACAGUAUUAAAAAUUAAAAUUUUUAAUUAAGGUGGAUUUGAAAGUAAAAUAAAUAAUUAAGUUUAUUUGACUAUAACUCUAAAAUAUGUACAAAUCGCCCG
rnacentral:rRNA from 1 species